rnacentral:rRNA from 1 species
CCUACGGGUGGCAGCAGUGAGGAAUAGUGGUCAAUGGACGCAAGUCUGAACCAGCCAUGCCGCGUGCAGGAAGACGGCUCUAUGAGGGGUAAACUGCUUGUGUACGAGGGUAAACGCAGAUACGCGUAGCUGUCUGAAAGGAGCGUACGAAUAAGGAUCGGCUAACUCCGUGCCAGCAGCCGCGGUAAUACGGAGGAUUCAAGCGUUAUCCGGAUUUAUUGGGGUUACAGGGUGCGUAGGCGGUCGGAUAAGUUAGAGGGGACAUCCCGAGGCUCAACUUCGGAAUUGCCUCUGAUACUGUUCGGCUCGUGCGUAGUUGCGGUAGGCGGAAUGUCUUGUGUAGCGG